AGAGCGAACGCUGGCGGCAGGCCUAAUACAUGCAAGUCGAACGGAUCCUUCGGGAUUAGUGGCGGACGGGUGAGUAACACGUGGGAACGUGCCCUUUGGUUCAGAACAACUCAGGGAAACUUGAGCUAAUACUGGAUAAGCCCUUCGGGGGAAAGAUUUAUCGCCAUUGGAGCGGCCCGCGUCUGAUUAGCUAGUUGGUAGGGUAAAGGCCUACCAAGGCUACGAUCAGUAGCUGGUCUGAGAGGAUGAUCAGCCACACUGGGACUGAGACACGGCCCAGACUCCUACGGGAGGCAGCAGUAGGGAAUCUGCGCAAUGGGCGAAAGCCUGACGCAGCCAUGCCGCGUGAAUGAUGAAGGUCUUAGGAUUGUAAAAUUCUUUCAGCGGGGACGAUAAUGACGGUACCCGCAGAAGAAGCCCCGGCUAACUUCGCGCCAGCAGCCGC
rnacentral:rRNA from 1 species